UACGUAGGGGGCAAGCGUUGUCCGGAAUUAUUGGGCGUAAAGAGCGCGUAGGCGGUCCGAUAAGUCGGCUGUGAAAGUCAGGGGCUCAACCCUUGAAAGCCGGCCGAUACUGUCGGACUAGAGUCCGGAAGAGGCAAGUGGAAUUCCCGGUGUAGCGGUGAAAUUCGUAGAGAUCGGGUGGAACACCAGUGGCGAAGGCGCCUGUCUGGCUGACAACUGACGCUGAGACUCGAAAGCAUGGGGAGCAAACAGG
rnacentral:rRNA from 1 species